GGAGAGGUGGUCGAGCGGUUUAAGGCACCGGUCUUGAAAACCGGCGUAGGUGCAAGCCUACCGUGGGUUCGAAUCCCACCCUCUCCG
rnacentral:tRNA from 1 species